rfam:Cricetulus griseus cell line CHO-K1, whole genome shotgun sequence.
UCCUUCUCCCCUACCCAUAGCAUAUUGGAGUUGUGAAUUCUAGAAACAACUCCUAUAUGCAUGGAUUACAGGAGAG